CCUACGGGAGGCAGCAGUGGGGAAUAUUGCACAAUGGGGGGAAACCCUGAUGCAGCAACGCCGCGUGAGUGAAGAAGUAUUUCGGUAUGUAAAGCUCUAUCAGCAGGGAAGAUAAUGACGGUACCUGACUAAGAAGCUCCGGCUAAAUACGUGCCAGCAG
rnacentral:rRNA from 1 species